CCUACGGGGGGCAGCAGUGGGGAAUAUUGCACAAUGGGGGAAACCCUGAUGCAGCGACGCCGCGUGAGCGAUGAAGUAUUUCGGUAUGUAAAGCUCUAUCAGCAGGGAAGAAGAUGACGGUAACUGACUAAGAAGCCCCGGCUAACUACGUGCCAGCAGCCGCGGUAAUACGUAGGGGGCAAGCGUUAUCCGGAUUUACUGGGUGAAAAGGGAGCGUAGACGGCGAUGCAAGCCCGAGGGGAAAGCCCGGGGCUCAACCCCGGGACUGCAUUUGGAACGGGGUGGCUGGGGUGUCGAGGGGGCAGGCGGAAUUCCUAUUGUGGCGGUGAAAUGGU
rnacentral:rRNA from 1 species